GGUCACCAUGGUCAACACCGUGGUUGGCAAGAGGUCAUUGUGGUUGAGGAGAAGUCAACGGGGUUGGCGUGAGGUCAUCGUGGUGGUCGCCGUGGUCGUCAUCAUGGUUGGCAAGGUCAACGUGGUUGGCGUGAGGUCAUCGUGGUUGAGGAGAUGUCAACGGGGUUGGUGUGAGGUCAUCGUGGUUGGUGUGAGGUCAUCGUGGUACCACCAUGGUCAUCGCCAUGGUUGGUGUGAGGUCAUCGUGGUUGAGGAGAGGUCAACGUGGUUGGCAAGAGGUCAACGUGGUUGGCAUGAGGUCAUCGUGGUUGGCUUGAGGUCAUCAUGGUGGUCACCGUGGUCAACGCCGUGGUUGGCAAGGGGUCAACGUGGUUGGCAAGAGGUCAUCAUGGUGGUCACCGUGGUCAACGCCAUGGUUGACAAGGUCAAUGUGGUUGGCGUGAGGUCAUCGUGGUUGGCGUGAGGUCAUCGUGGUGGUCACCACGGUCAUCACCAUGGUUGGUGUGAGGUCAUCGUGGUUGAGGAGAAGUCAACGUGGUUGGUGUGAGGUCAUCGUGGUGGUCACCGUGGUCAUCACCAUGGUUGGCAAGAGGUCAACGUGGUUGGCAUGAGGUCAUCGUGGUUGGCGUGAGGUCAUCGUGGUGGUCACUGUGGUCAUCACCAUGGUUGGCAUGAGGUCACCAUGGUUGGUGUGAGGUCAUCGUGGUGGUCACCAUGGUCAUCACCAUGGUUGGUGUGAGGUCAUCGUGGUUGGCGUGAGGUCAUCAUGGUGGUCACCAUGGUCAACACCGUGGUUGGCAAGGGGUCAACGUGGGUGAGGAGAAGUCAACGGGGUUGGCGUGAGGUCAUGGUGGUCGCUGUGAUGUCACCGCAGUUGUGACGUCAUCAUGAGGUCACCACCGUGGCGGGGGUGAUGUUGACGCGGGGUUGGCGUGACCUCAC